AGUGAACGCUGGCGGUAGGCCUAACACAUGCAAGUCGAACGGCAACACAGUAAGAGCUUGCUCUUACGGGUGGCGAGUGGCGGACGGGUGAGGAAUACAUCGGAAUCUACUUUUUCGUGGGGGAUAACGUAGGGAAACUUACGCUAAUACCGCAUACGACCUACGGGUGAAAGCAGGGGAUCUUCGGACCUUGCGCGAUUGAAUGAGCCGAUGUCGGAUUAGCUAGUUGGCGGGGUAAAGGCCCACCAAGGCGACGAUCCGUAGCUGGUCUGAGAGGAUGAUCAGCCACACUGGAACUGAGACACGGUCCAGACUCCUACGGGAGGCAGCAGUGGGGAAUAUUGGACAAUGGGCGCAAGACUGAUCCAGCCAUACCGCGUGGGUGAAGAAGGCCUUCGGGUCGUAAAGCCCUUUUGUUGGGAAAGAAAAGCAGCAGGUUAAUACCCCGCUGUUCUGACGGUACCCAAAGAAUAAGCACCGGCUAACUUCGUG
rnacentral:rRNA from 1 species